CCCUUAGACGUUCUGGGCCGCACGCGCGCUACACUGACCAGUGCAACAAGCAUCCGUCCUUGGCCGACAGGCCCGGGCAAUCUUUGAACGCUGGUCGUGAUGGGGAUAGACUUUUGCAAUUUUUGGUCUUCAACGAGGAAUUCCUAGUAAACGCAAGUCAUCAACUUGCAUUGAUUACGUCCCUGCCCUUUGUACACACCGCCCGUCGCUCCUACCGAUUGAAUGAUCCGGUGAAAUUCAUGGACCUUUGUGUUUGGAGGUUUCUCUUUACACCAAAAGAAAAGUGAAUUAAACCUUAUCAUUUAGAGGAAGGAGAAGUCGUAACA
rnacentral:rRNA from 1 species